AAUGGUAGAGGCGCGAACCGCCAAGAGUACCUUGUCCAGUCGGGUUUCAGGACCCGGGCAGAGGAAAGGGGCGUUCGCCGAAGCGGAAACAUACCUGAUUUUUUGUUUGCCGCUGGGCUGACGGAGAAUAUCCGGCAGACUGUCACAGAAAUGUGGAGCGCUAUC
rnacentral:ncRNA from 1 species